AUGCCGAUAUCCAGCUCAUCGGAACCUCGAGACUCUCGAGACCCUACUUCACCUGCACCAUCCACUUCAUCUUCUAGAUCAAGGGAAGCAUGUAAUCUUGGAGAAGUUGAUGAUCCUGGAAGUGCAAUGUCCACUGUUGCUCGAUUGCUGGAGCAGCUACAUGGUAGCGUGACAUCACUACCAGAGAAGGAAGUGGCAAUCAAACGAUUACUUGAACUUGCCAAGGCGAAAAAGGAAGCAAGGAUUUUGAUAGGUAGCCAUUCUCAGGCCAUGCCAUUAUUUAUAUCUAUCCUUAGAAGCGGGACAUCUUCAGCCAAAGUAAAUGCUGCGGCCCUGCUUAGUGCACUCUGCAAGGAAGAGGACCUGCGUGUCAAGGUUCUCUUAGGAGGUUGCAUACCACCCUUGCUCUCUCUCUUGAAGUCUGAAUCUGCUGAAGCAAAGAAGGCUGCCGCUGAGGCUAUUUUUGAAGUGUCUUCAGGGGGUCUUUCGGAUGAUCACAUAGGCAUGAAAAUAUUUGUGACAGAAGGCGUUGUGCCUACUCUUUGGGAUUUGCUCAAUCCUAAGUCACGCCAAGAUAGAAUAGUUGAGGGCUUUGUGACUGGGGCUUUAAGAAAUCUCUGUGGAGAUAAAGAUGGUUAUUGGAAGGCCACACUUGAAGCGGGUGGAGUAGAAAUUAUUACUGGCCUUCUUUCAUCCAAGAAUACUGCUUCACAGUCAAAUGCUGCUUCCCUCUUGGCACGGUUGAUCUCUGCUUUCAGUGAUAGCAUUCCCAAAAUCAUAGCUGCUGGGGCUGUUAAGGCCCUACUUCAGCUUCUGAAUCGAGAUGAUGACAUUGCUGUUCGUGAAAGUGCAGCUGAUGCUUUGGAGGCCUUAUCUUCCAAGUCUACUAUUGCAAAGAAAGCUGUGGUCGAUGCAGGUGGUCUCCCUGUUUUGAUUGGAGCUGUUGUAGCGCCCUCAAAAGAGUGCAUGCGAGGGGUUACCUGCCAUUCUCUACAAAGCCAUGCUGUUUGUGCUUUAUCAAAUAUUUGUGGUGGAACCACUUCAUUGUUGCUUUACCUGGGAGAGCUUUGCCAAUCACCCCGGUCAGCUGUGUCCUUUGCUGACAUUCUUGGAGCACUUGCAUAUACGCUGAUGGUGUAUGAUGGCACUGAUGGUAAAUUCUUUGAUCCUGUUGAGAUAGAAAGCAUUUUGGUUGUGCUCCUAAAAUCCCAUGACAGUAAGCUUCUGCUUGAUCGUAUUCUUGAAGCUUUAGCAAGUCUAUAUGCAAAUGCAUGUUUCUCUGGCAGACUUGAUCACUCAAAUGCAAAGAAGGUUCUUGUUGGGCUGGUCACUAUGGCUUCCGACGAUGUUCAAGACCAUCUUGUUCAUGCCUUAACUAGCUUGUGCUGUGAUGGUUUUGGAUUGUGGGAUGCUCUUGGAAAGAGAGAAGGAGUUCAGUUGCUAAUAUCAUUACUUGGACUUUCCAGUGAGCAGCAUCAGGAGUAUGCAGUUUCUUUGUUAGCUAUCUUGAGUGAUGAAGUAGAUGACAGUAAGUGGGCAAUAACAGCUGCUGGAGGCAUCCCUCCACUUGUUCAACUACUGGAAACAGGAUCUCAAAGGGCAAAGGAGGAUGCAGCUCAUAUCAUAUGCAACUUGUGCUGUCACAGUGACGAUAUCAGGGCAUGUGUUGAGAGUGCCGGUGCUGUUCUGGCGCUGCUUUGGCUUCUAAAGAGUGACAGUCCUCGUGGACAAGAGGCGUCAGUCAAAGCACUCAAGGUGCUUAUACGGUCUGCUGAUUCUGCCACAAUCAAUCAGCUGUUGGCACUGCUGCUCAGUGACUCAGUGAGCUCAAAGGCACAUGCCAUUACAGUUCUCGGGCAUGUCCUUGUGCUGGCUCCUCAAAGAGAUCUAAUCCAGAAUGGAGCUCCUGCUAAUAAAGGGCUUAGAUCUCUUGUUCUUGUUCUUGACUCGUCAAAUGAAGAAUCUCAGGAAUGUGCUGCAACUGUGUUGGCUGAUAUUUUCAGUAUGCGUCAGGAUAUUUGCGACAUCUUAGCAACCGAUGAAAUUGUUCAGCCAUGCAUGAAGCUUUUGACAAGUGGAAAUCAAGUUAUUGCAACACAAUCUGCUCGAGCUUUAGGAGCACUCUCGCGCUCGGCUAAUACCAUGUCGAAGAACAAGAUGUCAUGUAUAGCUGAAGGUGACGUGCAACCUCUCAUAGAGAUGGCCAAGACAUCAUCCAUUGAUGCGGCUGAAGCGGCAAUUGCUGCACUGGCAAAUCUCUUAUCAGAUUCCCAGAUUGCUAAGGAAGCGCUAGAUGAUAAUAUUGUCCAAGCUUUGACUAGAGUCUUAAAGGAGGGGAGUUUAGAUGGCAAAAUUAGUGCUUCACGGUCACUUUAUCACUUGCUCAACCAAUUCCCCCUCUGUGAAGUUUUUCCAGAUUACUCACUCUGCUGCUUUAUAAUUCAUGCACUGCUGGUGUGUUUAUCUGGUAUCAGUUUGGAAAAUGUCACUAGCUUGGAUCCCCUGGACGUGCUUGCAUUGAUGGUGAUGACCAAGGAGGGUGCUCAUUUUAGCCCCCCUCUGCGGACUGCCUUUCUGGAAGCUCCAGAAAGUUUAGAACCUCUGGUCCGCUGUAUCAGUGUUGGGCUCCCCCCUAUUCAAGGCAAAUCCAUUCAAAUUCUUGCAAGGCUAUGUCAGGACCAAUCUUCUCUGCUUAGUGAGCACAUAAACAGAAGUCAAGGCUGCAUUGAUUCUCUUGUCAGUAGAGUUAUGGAAUCGACAAACAUGGAAAUAAGAAUCUCCAGUGCAAUCACCCUCAUAUUUGCAUUGAAGGACAACAGAGAAGAUUCAAUUGAAGUUCUUGAAGCAUCAGGACAUUUGAAGAGUCUAAUAUCUGCACUCAUUGAUAUGUUGAAGCAACAUUCCACUUCAACAUCCCUAGACAUUGAAGUCUGGAAACCUUACACAGAGAAGAGUUUGUUCAAUUGUGAGCAGGAUGUUUUGGAUGUGCCUGAAUCGGGGAAGGUUCUGGAAGAAACUGUUGCACGUUUGCUCUCACUAAUUUGUUCUUCUCAUCCCAGGAGUAAACCUACUGUUAUGGAUCUUGGUGGUGUUGACAUUGUUUCUGAUAAACUUGCUAGCCACUCUGCUAGCCGACAGGAACACGAUGAAGAUUCAGGGAGUGUAUGGAGUUGCGCCCUUCUAUUGGCUACUUUAUUUCAGGAUUCAGUGGUAGUUCAAUCUUCAGCAAUAGUGCGAAUUAUACCUUCUUUAGCUUCAUUACUAAGAUCUGAUGAGAUUAUUGACAAGUACUUUGCUGCUCAAUCACUGGCUAGCCUGGUUUGCACUGGAAGCAGAAGUAUACAGCUCGCUAUAGCAAAUUCUGGUGCAGUUGUGGGUGCUAUAGCCAUGAUUGGACUGAUAGAAUCUGGUAUGCCAGACCUUGUUACAAUGGCUGAAGAAUUCAAGUUGGCAGAGAAUCCAAGUCAAAUAAUAUUGAGAAGUCUUUUUGAUCUUGAGGAUGUUCGUACUGGUGCUACUGCUCGAAGGUCCAUUCCCUUGCUAGUGGAUAUGCUUAAACCCAUGGCAGACAAACCAGGAGCACCUCUGGUUGCGUUGCACCUAUUGACUCAGCUAGCAGAAGGUAGCGAAACAAAUAAAGUUGCUAUGGCGGAGGCUGGAGCUCUAGAUGCUUUAACCAUGUAUUUAUCUUUAAGCCCACAAGACUCGACUGAAACUGCCAUUAUCAAUCUCUUAGGGAUCUUAUACAAAAAUCCUGAUCUGCUUUACUAUGAAUCCUCACUUAGCACUUUGAAUCAACUUGUAGCUGUCUUACGGUUGGGCUCAAGAAAUUCUAGGCUUAGUGCAGCAAGGACAUUGCAGAACUUAUUUGAUUCAGAGAGUAUAAGAGAUACAGAAGUGGCUAGGCAAGCUAUACAACCAUUACUUGACAUGCUUGAGUCAGGAACUGAAAUAGAACAGCAAGCCACACUUGGUGCUCUGAUCAAACUUUCUGCUGGCAAUAUCUCAAAGGCUUCAGCUAUGUUUGAUGUAGAAGGCAACACACUUGAAAGCCUGUAUAAAAUUUUAUCCUUCAGUUCCUCCUUAGAGCUUAAGAAAGAUGCUGCUCAGCUCUGCUAUGUUUUAUUUGAGAACUCUGACAUAAGGGCAUCACCAAUUGCCACAGAAUGUCUUCGCCCCCUGAUAUCAUUGAUGUCAUCAGGCUCUAGUUUGGUUGUUGAACCAGCUGUCUGUGCUCUGAGCAGACUACUGGAUGAAGAGCACAAUGCAGAGAUUGCUGCGACUAAUGAAGUUGUUGAUCUUCUUGUUAGUUUUGUUCCUGGGACAAACUACCAAUUGUCAGAGGCGUCUAUUGCUGCUCUUAUAAAGUUAGGCAAGGAUCGUCCAAACUGCAAACUUGACAUGGUUAAAGCUGGUAUCCUAGAGCAUGCGCUUGAUAUGAUUCUGGAUGUUCCUGUUUCUGUUAGCUCAUCCAUUGCUGAGUUACUUCGCAUCUUAACAAACAACAGUGGCAUUGCUAAAAGUUCCGCUGCUGCAAAAAUGGUGGAGCCACUUUUCUUGCUAUUACGUCGCCCUGACGUUACCAUGUGGGACCAGCACAGCGCAUUGCAAGCACUUGUGAAUAUUCUGGAGAAACCUCAGAGUCUAGCAGCGUUGAAGUCAACUCCUAGUCAAAUUAUUGAGCCGUUAAUAUCAUUUCUUGAAUCUCCCUCUCAAGCAAUCCAACAACUUGGCACUGAGGUGCUAUCACAUCUUCUGGAACAGGAACAUUUUCAACAAGAUAUCACUACAAAAAAUGCAGUUGUCCCUCUGGUGCAGCUUGCUGGUAUUGGUAUCUUGAGCUUACAGCAAACUGCAGUUAAAGCACUUGAAAACAUAUCUCAGAGUUGGCCCAAGGCUGUAGCAGAUGCAGGUGGAAUAUUUGAACUUUCAAAGGUAAUUGUCCAGGAUGACCCUCAGCCAAGUCAAGCAUUAUGGGAGUCCACAGCACUUGUAUUAUGUAAUGUUUUGCGUUAUAGCUCUGAUAACUAUGUUAAAGUCUCACUGGCUGUGCUUGUAAGAUUACUGAACUCCACUAUGGAGAGUACUGUCACAAUAGCUCUCGGUGCUCUUCUUGUGCAAGAGAAAAGCAAUUCACGGUGUGCUGUAGCCAUGGCUGAGGCUGGGGCUGUACGUGCACUGUUGGAGCUCCUUAAGAGCCAUCGUUGUGAGGAAUCUGCAGCAAGAUUGCUUGAAGCACUGAUAAACAAUUCAAGGGUCCGAGAAACAAAAGUUGCCAAACACUCCAUUGCUCCUCUCUCACAGUACCUGUUAGAUCCUCAAUCAAAGAAUCAGGCAGCAAAGUUUUUGGUGACUCUUGCACUAGGUGACAUUUUCCAGCAUGAAGCCCUUGCAAGAGCAAGUGACUCUGUAUCUGCCUGUCGUGCUCUUGUAAGCCUACUUGAGGACCAGCCCACGGAUGAUAUGACAAUGGUUGCUAUUUGUGCACUCCAGAGCUUAGUGAUGCACAGCAGGACAAACAGGCGUGCUGUUGCGGAGGCUGGAGGCAUUUUGGUUGUACAGGAGUUGCUUCUGUCUCCAAAUGUAGAUAUUGCAGGACAGGCUGCUCUGCUAAUCAAGCAUCUUUUUUCAAAUCAUACACUUCAAGAAUAUGUAUCUAACGAGCUCAUCCGUUCUCUCACUGCUGCCUUAGAAAGAGAGCUGCUCUCUACAUCAUCUAUCAAUGAAGUUAUUUUGAGGACCAUAUAUGUGAUAUUCAGCAACUUCAGAAAGGUCCGAUUUUCUGAGGCAGCAACAUUGUGCAUACCCCAUCUGGUUUGUGCCCUGAAGGAUGGAAACGAGGCUGCCCAAGAGAGUGUGCUAGACACCCUUUGCUUGCUCAAAGAAUCUUGGCCCCAGAUGAAUGAAGACAUUGCUAAGGCCCAGUCUCUUAUUUCAGCUGAGGCCAUACCUGUACUACAGAUGCUUAUGAAGACCUGUCCUCCCAGUUUUCAUGACAGAGCUGAUAGCUUACUGCAUUGCCUGCCUGGUUGCUUGACCGUGACCAUCUUACGUGGGAAUAAUUUAAAACAGACAAUGGGGAGUACAAAUGCAUUUUGUUGCCUGCAAAUAGGAAAUGGUCCUCCAAGGCAAACCAAGCUGGUUAACCAGAGCAUCUGCCCGGUAUGGAACGAGGGAUUCACUUGGUUAUUCGACAUCCCCCCAAAAGGGCAGAAGUUGUACAUCUUGUGCAAAAGCAAAAAUACAUUUGGAAAGUCAACCCUCGGAAGAGUAACCAUCCAGAUCGACAAAGUGGUCACCGAGGGAGUUUACAGUGGGUUCUUCAGCCUCAGCCAUGACGGCGGUAAGGAUGGCUCAAGAACACUAGAGAUAGAGAUUGUAUGGUCAAAUAGACCGGCCAACGACAAUGUGUAG
rnacentral:rRNA from 1 species